rnacentral:rRNA from 1 species
CGCCCUGAAUAUUGCAUUUCGCCAAGGAUGUUUUCAUUAAUCAAAAAAGCAGAGAAGUUGGGGGCUCGAAGACGAUUAGAUACCGUCGUAGUCUCAACCAUAAACGAUGCCGACUAGGGAUUGGCGAAGGUUUUUUUAAUGACUUCGCCGCACCUUAUGAAAAAUCAAAGUUUUUGGGUUCCGGGGGGAGUAUGGUCCCAAGGCUGAAACUUAAAGGAAUUGACGGAGGGGCACCACCAGGCUUGGAGCCGGCGGCUUAAUUUGACUCAACACGGGAAAACUUACCAGGUCCAAACUUAGUGGGGAUUGACAGAUGGAGAGCUCUUUCUGGAUUCUUUGGGUGGUGGUGCAGGGCCUUUCUUAGUUGGUGGGUUGCCUGUGUCAGGUUGAUCCCAA